GACGAACGCUGGCGGCGUGCUUAACACAUGCAAGUCGAACGGAAAGGCCCUGCUUUUGUGGGGUGCUCGAGUGGCGAACGGGUGAGUAACACGUGAGUAACCUGCCCUUGACUUUGGGAUAACUUCAGGAAACUGGGGCUAAUACCGGAUAGGAGCUCCUGCUGCAUGGUGGGGGUUGGAAAGUUUCGGCGGUUGGGGAUGGACUCGCGGCUUAUCAGCUUGUUGGUGGGGUAGUGGCUUACCAAGGCUUUGACGGGUAGCCGGCCUGAGAGGGUGACCGGCCACAUUGGGACUGAGAUACGGCCCAGACUCCUACGGGAGGCAGCAGUGGGGAAUAUUGCACAAUGGGCGGAAGCCUGAUGCAGCAACGCCGCGUGCGGGAUGACGGCCUUCGGGUUGUAAACCGCUUUCGCCUGUGACGAAGCGUGAGUGACGGUAAUGGGUAAAGAAGCACCGACUAACUACGU
rnacentral:rRNA from 1 species